GGCCUGCAGACCAGUUUGAUCCUGGCUCAGGAUGAACGCUAGCUACAGGCUUAACACAUGCAAGUCGAGGGGAAACGACAUCGAAAGCUUGCUUUUGAUGGGCGUCGACCGGCGCACGGGUGAGUAACGCGUAUCCAACCUGCCCACCACUUGGGGAUAACCUUGCGAAAGUAAGACUAAUACCCAAUGAUAUCUCUAGAAGACAUCUGAAGGAGAUUAAAGAUUUAUCGGUGAUGGAUGGGGAUGCGUCUGAUUAGCUUGUUGGCGGGGUAACGGCCCACCAAGGCGACGAUCAGUAGGGGUUCUGAGAGGAAGGUCCCCCACAUUGGAACUGAGACACGGUCCAAACUCCUACGGGAGGCAGCAGUGAGGAAUAUUGGUCAAUGGGCGAGAGCCUGAACCAGCCAAGUAGCGUGCAGGAUGACGGCCCUAUGGGUUGUAAACUGCUUUUAUAAGGGAAUAAAGUGAGUCUCGUGAGACUUUUUGCAUGUACCUUAUGAAUAAGGACCGGCUAAUUCCGUGCCAGCAGCCGCGGUAAUACGGAAGGUCCGGGCGUUAUCCGGAUUUAUUGGGUUUAAAGGGAGCGUAGGCCGGAGAUUAAGCGUGUUGUGAAAUGUAGAGGCUCAACCUCUGCACUGCAGCGCGAACUGGUCUUCUUGAGUACGCACAACGUGGGCGGAAUUCGUGGUGUAGCGGUGAAAUGCUUAGAUAUGACGAAGAACCCCGAUUUGCGAAGGCAGCUCGCGGGAGCGCAACUGACGCUGAAGC
rnacentral:rRNA from 1 species